CUACGGGGGGCUCCAGUGGGGAAUAUUGCACAAUGGAGGAGACUCUGAUGCAGCAACGCCGCGUGGAGGAUGACACUUUUCGGAGCGUAAACUCCUUUUAUAUAGGAAGAAGAUGACGGUACUAUAUGAAUAAGCGCCGGCUAACUCCGUGCGCAGCAGCCGCGGUAAUACGGAGGGCGCAAGCGUUACUCGGAAUCACUGGGCGUAAAGAGCGUGUAGGCGGAUUAAAAAGUCAGAAGUGAAAUCCUAUAGCUUAACUAUAGAACUGCUUCUGAAACUCUUAAUCUAGAAUAUGGGAGAGGUAGAUGGAAUUUCUGGUGUAGGGGUAAUAUCCGUAGAGAUCAGAAGGAAUACCGAUUGCGAAGGCGAUCUACUAGAACAUUAUUGACGCUGAGACGCGAAAGCGUGGGGAGCAAACAGGAUUAGAUACCCUCGUAGUC
rnacentral:rRNA from 1 species